UACGUAGGUGGCAAGCGUUGUCCGGAUUUAUUGGGCUUAAAGGGUGCGUAGGCGGCCCCGUAAGUCAGUGCUGAAAUGUCCCGGCUUAACCGGGAGGGUGGCAUUGAUACUGCAGGGCUUGAGUAAAGUUGAGGUAGGCGGAAUUGACGGUGUAGCGGUGAAAUGCUUAGAUAUCGUCAAGAACACCGAUAGUGUAGACAGCUUACUAAGCUUUAACUGACGCUGAGGCACGAAAGUGUGGGGAUCAAACAGG
rnacentral:rRNA from 1 species